GGACUACCGGGGUUUCUAAUCCCGUUCGCUCCCCUGGCUUUCGCGCCUCAGCGUCAGAUGGGGUCCAGCGGGCCGCCUUCGCCACCGGAGUUCCUCUGCAUAUCAACGCAUUUCACCGCUCCACGCAGAGUUCCGCCCGCCCCUACCCCCCUCAAGGCCGCCCGUAUCCGAGGCCGUUUCACGGUUAAGCCGUGGAAUUUCACCCCGGACGCGGCAACCCGCCUACGCGCCCUUUAAGCCCAGUGAUUCCGAACAACGUUCGCACGGUUCGUCUUACCGCGGCUGCUGGCAC
rnacentral:rRNA from 1 species